rnacentral:tRNA from 1 species
GGGGUUGUGGCUCAGCGGUAGAGCGCUAGCCUACCAUGCAAGGCCCUGGGUUCGAUCCUCAGCACCA